rfam:Camelus ferus unplaced genomic scaffold scaffold632, whole genome shotgun sequence.
GAGGGUGCAGCUCAGUGGCAGAGCGCAUGCUUAGCAUGCACGAGGUCCUGGGUUCAAGCCCCAGUAUCUCUA